GUGAUCAACAAACACCAACACCUGCUGGGAUGAAAUCCACCACAACACACAGUCUGUCAUCAGAGGGAAGCUCUGUCGACCAGCCAUCUGGACUCAGGAUUGUGCUGUUGGGGAAAAGUGAGGA